rnacentral:rRNA from 1 species
GGCAGGCNUAAUACAUGCAAGUCGAACGGCAGCACAGUGGAGCUUNCUCCAUGGGUGGCGAGUGGCGGACGGGUGAGGAAUACAUGGGAAUCUGCCCUUUCGUGGGGGAUAACGUAGGGAAACGUACGCUAAUACCGCAUACGACCUACGGGGGAAAGCCGGGGACNNUCCGGCUUCGCGCGGUUGAAUGAGCCGAUGUCGGAUUAGCUAGUUGGCGGGGUAAAGGCCCACCAAGGCGACGAUCCGUAGCUGGUCUGAGAGGAUGAUCAGCCACACUGGAACUGAGACACGGUCCAGACUCNUACGGGAGGCNNCAGUGGGGAAUAUUGGACAAUGGGCGCAAGCCUGAUCCNNCCAUGCCGCGUGGGUGAAGAAGGCCUUCGGGUUGUAAAGCCCUUUUGUUGGGAAAGAAAAGCAGUCGGUUAAUACCCGAUUGUUCUGACGGUACCCAAAGAAUAAGCACCGGCUAACUUCGUGCCAGCAGCCGCGGUAAUACGAAGGGUGCAAGCGUUACUCGGAAUUACUGGGCGUAAAGCGUGCGUAGGUGGUUGUUUAAGUCUGAUGUGAAAGCCCUGGGCUCAACCUGGGAAUUGCAGUGGAUACUGGGUCACUAGAGUGUGGUAGAGGGUAGCGGAAUUCCCGGUGUAGCAGUGAAAUGCGUAGAGAUCGGGAGGAACAUCCGUGGCGAAGGCGACUACCUGGGCCAGCACUGACACUGAGGCACGAAAGCGUGGGGAGCAAACAGGAUUAGAUACCCNGGUAGUCCACGCCCUAAACGAUGCGAACUGGAUGUUGGGCUCAACUUGGCACGCAGUAUCGAAGCUAACGCGUUAAGUUCGCCGCCUGGGGAGUACGGUCGCAAGACUGAAACUCAAAGGAAUUGACGGGGGCCCGCACAAGCGGUGGAGUAUGUGGUUUAAUUCGAUGCAACGCGAAGAACCUUACCUGGCCUUGACAUGCACGGAACNUUCCAGAGAUAGAUUGGUGCCUUCGGGANNCGUGAGNGG